UCAACAAUUAAACUUCCCCCCUUUUCUUUAACUCUUUAAGGGAAGUGUUCCCAUCCUUCCAUCUCUCUCUCUCUCUCUCUCUCCCUCUGAUCUUGUCCUUGCCUACUCCAACGGGAGUUACCAGACGACUACUUCUGCAUAUCAAUGGAAGGGGGUUUUACUGGCCACCACAAGCACUUUCCCUCCAAAUUUGGGUUUCACUUUUUGGGGUUUCUUUUAGAUCUGGAGACGAACAUCAUCGCUUCGGUAUUCCAAUUCUCUUUUUGGGUUUUGACAUCAUCAGGAUCUGGGUUUGUGAUUAUUCUGUUUCUAUGCCGUCGAAACCCAUCCCAUCUUGAACUGAAAAUUCCAGAAACUGAAAUUUCCUGAGCUCUGGGAACCUGGAGAUGGACACUUUCCGAGUUUUCUAAUUCAUUUCAUCAUCAUUUGAUUGUUGUCUUUGAAUUUUCUUUCUAGGUUUUUUGGUGGUUUUGUUUUUGUUGUUGCUAAUUUGGGUUUUGGUGAAUUUGUGAAGAGCAAGCGGUGUGUGUAGAAAUUGGAAACAGGGGUGAAGCAGAGUCUGGGACGCAGAGACAGUUUGAGCUUUGCUGGUUGGAAGAUGGGUUCUCAGAUAUGAUUUUUGGGUGUGAGAACUCUAGCUGGAGAACAAGAGGAUGAUGGACAGUUCUAUUAAAUAGAGAGGACAAGCCUUCUGAGGGCAAGAGAAGAAGCUUUGGGUUUGCGAACUCUAGCUGGAGAACAAGAGGAUGAUGGACAGUUCUAUUAGAGAAAUAGAGAGGACAAGCCUUCUGAGGGCAAGAGAAGAAGCUGGUUCGAGGUUAAGAAAAGUGCUAAGCAAGGGCAGAUGAUGUGUUUUUCUUCUGAUCGGAUACAAGAAGGUAAUUCAAAUAAGCCCCUUUCAACUGGUGUAGUAGAUGCUUAUCUUGCAGAGUGGAUGAGAAAAAUGAAUGUAAAGUAGUGUAGGAAAUGGAUGUAAAGUACGUAGUUGUGAAGGUUUCUUUUUGCUUCUAUGGAUUUUUAUUUGCUUGUAAGCAAAUCUUAUAUGAUGUACAAUAAUUAUAUAAAUGAAGUUUAUUUACCAACAAAAAUAUAGAAACAUGAAAUAAAAUGUAAAUUGUGGAUUUUUGG